rnacentral:lncRNA from 10 species
UGUCAGUACAUCUUUAAUGACUUGAAGUUUUAAAACAUUUUAAGCCUUUAAGGUGAAAGCCAUUUAAUUAAUUUGCUCUAGAAAUAAGCACAAAAAAUUAUAGUUAAUUUGAAUACAUGUAUGUAAUGCAUGUCAAAAUAACUUGUUAAUAGCUAUGUGCAACUGUGUUGCAUACAUUGAUCACUAAUGGCAUUUAAAAAUGAUCUGCCUAAAUCUGAGGAUCUGUUUAUUAUAAAUCAGUAGUACUAAAAUAUACCACCCUGUUUUUAUGUUGUGGGUGUUUUUCUUGAUUGAUUGAUCCUGAUAAAUUAAACAGUACCUUCAAGUAUGGACUUUUAACUCCUCCAGUUAAUGCAUCAUAUGUUUACUGGCUAAUAUUAGAUUGAACAUUUUUCUCUCUAUGUCAGUAUCUCCAUAUGCACAUUGGUUGCCGCAUAUAUACAUCUGAGUUUGAAAAGUUCUUCUGAGAUUACCUAAAAGUAACACCACAGAUUCCUUCCAUUGUAAAUACUUUAUUUUAUUUUAUUAUUAUUUUUUAGAGACAUGGUCUCACUUUUGCCCAAGCUGGAGUACAGUGAUGCAAUCAUAGCUCACUGCAGCCUCAAAUUCCUAGGCUCAAGGGAUCUUCCUUAGGCUGGAUGCUGUGGCUCACACCUGUAAUCACAACACUUUAGGAGGCCAAGGCAGGAGGAUCACUUGAGGUCAAGAGUUCAAGACCAACCUGGUCAAUAUAAUAAGAACCUGUCUUUAUGACUUCUUUUUUUUUUUUAAUUAUCCAGGCAUGGUGGUACACACCAGUAGUCCCAGCUACUUGGGAAGCUUAGGCGGGAGGGUUACUUGAACCCAGGAGGUCAAGGCUUCAGUAAGCAGUGAUUGUGGUACUACAUUCCUGUCUGGGUGACAGAGUGAGACCCUGUCUCAACAACAAAAAAGGAUCUUUCCACCUCAGCCUCUCUGGUAGCUAGGACUACAGGCACACAGCACUAUGCCCAGCUAAUAAAAAAUAAUAAUUUUUUAUAGAGGUGGGGUCCGCUAUAUUUUCCAGGCUAGUCCCAAUCUCAUAGCUUCAAGCAGUCGUCCAGCCUUGACCUCUCAAAAUGCUGGGAUUACAGGUGUAAGCCACCGUGCCCUGCCCAUGAUAAAUAUUUUAAUUUUGCCUGAUAAGUCAUAAAAAGUUUAUUCAACACCUUAAAUAGAUUUCUCAAUUUUUUAAAAAUAUUAAACCUUUGAAAUCGAAAGUAAUUUUUGGAUUUCACCCCUUUAUUGCAAGGUUUUUGAUGUCUGUGGGAAAAACCCCUGAAUUGCUUGUGAAACUCUGGAUAUGUAAUUUUUUUUCUUUUUCUGAACAGAGUAAAAUCUUGGAUGGGCCAUGAUCCAAAAAUCAUGGUUUUGAAAGUAGACCGUACUAUAAGCCAUAAUCACAAAUCUGAGGUAAUAGUUGUGAAAGUGUUUAAAACAUCCUGAAAACAAUGUUGAAAAAAAAAAUCUAUGAUAAAAACUAUAAAAUCUCUGCAUAUGUUAUACUGUAUUGAACUUGAAACUUUGAAGGAAUUAGAGUAGAUAAGACAUUAAUGGUAGAAGAGAAACCACAGGGGUGAAUUAUAUCCUACAAAAGAGAAAUCUUCAUGAUUUAACCUUUUUUUUCUGAGUGACUUUUAUUUUGCCUUAUUAACAGAAACCUGAGAAAGUAUGUUGCUUUGUAUUAAAUGGUUGAGACCAUUAUUUGAUAUAAAAGCUGAAAAUUUAAUUUUUGUAUUUUGGAGAAUUCUGUGGUUCCAAGUAAUUGAAAGAAUGACUAAAGCUGUAUGUCAUAGACCCUGCUAAAAUGAAAUAACUUGUUGGGAACAUUCCAUGCAGAUUUCCAAAAUGUAUUUUACCUUAUUAUUAGAGAAAGAAAAUAAACUUUUAAAAUAAUCUGAUAACUAGCAUUCAUAUAUUUAAUAAGUAUUUUGGUUACAGAAGGGAAGGUGAUACUGUACAUUGUAACUGCUGAGACUUUUUUUUAACCAAUGUCUUUGGUAGAUAGCGAGCCACCGCUGCUGGCUCUUUUUACUUUAGAUUGUAUCUGCCUGAUUUGACAAUGCCAAAUUUUUUAUGUAAUCACCAUUUGGUUUGGGACUGAGAGCUCUUUCAUUUUCUACCAGUCAAACCACUAUUAGAGUCUUCAUGUUACUUCCCCAAUUUGCUAGCAAGGUAGAAUCAGCAUGGAUAGCUUAUUUUCCUUAUUGGAAUUCUGUUUUGGAAGAGGCAGGUCUUAUAGCAGGGCAGACUAAUUAAUGUGCUGAACUCAUUCCCUCCUGCUUAAGUGAAUAAAAACUUUUAUUUGACUAUGGAUUAUAAAGAUUGCCUUUAAGGAGCCUUGUUUAUUUUGGGGAAGGAGAAUGGAUAUUUUGUAGGAGAAAAAGACUUUAUAUAGUAAAUGAAAAGUCUAUGGGCUGGGUGUAGUGGCUCAUACCUUUAAUCCCAACACUUUGGGAUGCCAAGGUAGGAGUAUUGCUUGAGCUCAGGAGAUCGAGACCAGGGAGACUGCAUCUCUAUUUUUAAUUAAAAAGGAAAGAAAAAGAAAGAAAGUUCUAUGACUAAUCACCUUUACUCUAAAAAAAUUUUGCCCAAAUGUGUAAUGAAAGAGAUCAUAUUUAAAUAUCAGCAAUAUUAAUUUGCAUAGCUCAUAAGAAGUCUUGACUCAUUUAGAAAAAGGUUGCUACAGUUUAAUAGUUUUUUAUUGUCAAUAUAGACAAUAUAACUUUAUAACAAUUUUAUGUGAAGAAUAAUGAUUAAAUGGCAUGACUGAAAUGCACAAGGUACAGGUACAAUCCUUAGGGAGUUAUCUUAAAUUUCUUUUUUUUUUUUUUUUUGAGAUGGAGUCUUGCUCUGUCGCCCAGGCUGGAGUGCAGUGGCAUGACUCCCUGCACCCUCUGCCUGCUGGGUUCAAGUGAUUCUCCUUCCUCAGCCUCUC